UUGAAGUGGCAGUUUCAUGUCAAAAACUUGACAGAAAUUCUCGGUAAGUUCCCGAAUUGAUCCCUUCGAAUGAUAUCCUAGUGUUAUUGUAUGUAAUAAAGUUAAUGGAGAUAAGACGGUGGUUUCUAUGUACGAGGGAGUUGAUAGUUUGUACCUUUAUAGUUUAAAGUUAGGUUUAGUUGUUGUGUAAAUAGUAGUCUUUAUAUAGUGAUGGAAAGGUGAUAAAAAGUUAGGCAAGAAACUUUUCAUGAUUUACUUUUAUGAGUGAAUUGAUGAAAUUAGGAGGAAUUGAAAUGGAGCAGUAGCGCGCGUUAAUGGGUAGUAAAUUUGGGUAUUUAUGUAUUGCAUAAAUUAAAUAAUGAAUUGAACAAUAGAUGGCAGUGAUGAUAGUGCACGUAUGAAGUGAAUAAGUUGGACAAAAAUAUGAAAAAGGCCAAUUAUUGGCACUUUACAGAAAUGGGUUAUCAUUUGUUAUAUAUUUAAUUAUUUAGUCUUUUUUUUUUUGUAAAUUUCUUCAUAAUUCGGGAUUAGAGAAUUCGAGGUUUAGGUUUAGGACUUUUAGAGUAAGAAUUUGUAAAUGGGUGUCAUUAGAUUUGUAUUCUUAUGGAAAUUAUGUAUUGAAACAGAUUUUGAACGUUUCAAAACUUUGAGGAAGGGCAAGGCGUUUGCAAAUUAACUUGCAUUUGGAUUCUUCAGUUGAGGUAGUUUAUGAUUUAAUUGAAGUUUAGACUCGAUUUAAUUGUGUGUAUGCUCCUAAAUUGGAUACAUGUUGAUUGGUAUUCGAACAUACUUGAAAUUGAUGAUGUUUGAAUUGUUGAGGCGUUUAUAAAUAAUUAUUGAAAAUUUACUUGAUGGAAUUGUCUUAUGACUGUAAGUUUACUUGUAAACUUAGUACAUCAUAUUGUAUGUUGUGAGGUAGUGCAAAUUUGAUAUUGAUAUUACUUAUUUAUGUUGGAUCGGGUACCAUACCGGUACGGAUAUGUAUAUAUUGGAUCGGGUACCACACUAGUAUGGGUAUGUAUAUGUUGGAUCGGGUACCACGCCGGUACAAAUAUGUAUAUGAUGGAUCGGGCACCACACUGAUAUGGUACAUGAAAUAGAUUGUUCCCUGCAGGUCAUGACUAUUUUGGCAAAAAUAAGUCCCACAGCAUGUGUGUAUGCAUUUGUGUUGAUUCUAUGGAUGUUUACAAUAUGGUUGAUACUUUUGAUGGUUAUUUGUAUUGCUUGAGAGCACUGUUUGGCCUGUUGUAGCUGUAUUGUUGAUUCAUUAAGUAUUUAUUAUAUGACGAUGCAUGUCUACUUUUUAUUUGAUUCAUGUUGUGUACAUGUUAUUAAAUUGAGUUGACCUAUGAUACCUACGGUACAUAGUUGUUUGUACUGAUACUACCCGUAUUCUUCUUUUGUUGAGUACAAAAAGUGUUCUAGAGGAUCAGACAUGACCUCACCUCUAGAUUUUGAUAGCAGAUCUUGAUCCAAGGGUGAGCACUACGUCUCCAGGCUACCAUGGGUCAUCUUAUUUUGUUCUUGCCCAUCUUUCGAGCAAUGAAAUAUUGUUCUUGUCCAUCUUUCGAGAAAUGAAACAUUCUUUAGUUACUUUAUUUUUGGAUAUCUCUUUAGACAUGAUCUUUGUUAGUAGUUCUUGUACUAUGUUUUUCGGAUCUUGGAGAUUUUAGUAAGUAGUUUAUUUGACUUCCACAUUAAUAAUGAUUAGUCCUGGAUUAUUGUUA
rnacentral:lncRNA from 1 species